rnacentral:rRNA from 1 species
UACGUAGGGUGCAAGCGUUGUCCGGAAUUAUUGGGCGUAAAGAGCUCGUAGGCGGCUUGUCGCGUCGGGCUGUGAAAACCUGGGGCUCAACCCCGGGCCUGCAGCCGAUACGGGCAAGCUAGAAUUCGGUAGGGGAGACUGGAAUUCCUGGUGUAGCGGUGAAAUGCGCAGAUAUCAGGAGGAACACCGGUGGCGAAGGCGGUUCUCUGGGCAUGUCCUGACGCUGAGGAGCGAAAGUGUGGGGAGCGAACAGG